rnacentral:rRNA from 1 species
AGUGAACGCUGGCGGCAGGCCUAACACAUGCAAGUCGAACGGAUCCUUCGGGAUUAGUGGCGGACGGGUGAGUAACACGUGGGAACGUGCCCUUUGGUUCGGAACAACUCAGGGAAACUUGAGCUAAUACCGGAUGUGCCCUUCGGGGGAAAGAUUUAUCGCCAUUGGAGCGGCCCGCGUCUGAUUAGCUAGUUGGUGGGGUAAAGGCCCACCAAGGCUACGAUCAGUAGCUGGUCUGAGAGGAUGAUCAGCCACAUUGGGACUGAGACACGGCCCAAACUCCUACGGGAGGCAGCAGUGGGGAAUCUUGCGCAAUGGGCGAAAGCCUGACGCAGCCAUGCCGCGUGAAUGAUGAAGGUCUUAGGAUUGUAAAAUUCUUUCACCGGGGACGAUAAUGACGGUACCCGGAGAAGAAGCCCCGGCUAACUUCGUGCCAGCCGCCGCAGUAAAAC